GACGAACGCUGGCGGCGUGCUUAACACAUGCAAGUCGAACGAAGAGCGAUGGAAGCUUGCUUCUAUCAAUCUUAGUGGCGAACGGGUGAGUAACGCGUAAUCAACCUGCCCUUCAGAGGGGGACAACAGUUGGAAACGACUGCUAAUACCGCAUACGAUCUAACCUCGGCAUCGAGGAUAGAUGAAAGGUGGCCUCUACAUGUAAGCUAUCACUGAAGGAGGGGAUUGCGUCUGAUUGGCUAGUUGGAGGGGUAACGGCCCACCAAGGCGAUGAUCAGUAGCCGGUCUGAGAGGAUGAACGGCCACAUUGGGACUGAGACACGGCCCAGACUCCUACGGGAGGCAGCAGUGGGGAAUCUUCCGCAAUGGACGAAAGUCUGACGGAGCAACGCCGCGCGAGUGAUGACGGCCUUCGGGUUGUAAAGCUCUGUUAAUCGGGACGAAAGGCCUUCUUGCGAAUAGUUAGAAGGAUUGACGGUACCGGAAUAGAAAGCCACGGCUAACUACGUG
rnacentral:rRNA from 1 species